CCGGUUGAGGUGCGAAAGAAAAUCGAUAGCCUGAGACGUGCCUAUCUAUGGGCAGGCUGCGACAAGGUGUCUGGAGGCAAAUGUAAGGUUAGCUGGAACCUUGUCUGCAAACCCAAGAUUUUCGGCGGCUUGGGUGUGCUAAACCUCCAAAAUUUUGCCGCCGCCCUUCGACUACGUUGGCUUUGGUUCGAGUGGGUUGACCUCCCCAAAACUUGGGCUGGAAUGGAGACACCCUGUAGCAAUGCUGACAGAGAUCUCUUUGCGACGUUCACGAGUGUGACCAUUGGUGAUGGUAAAAAGGCAAGAUUCUGGGAAUCGUCAUGGCUGAAUGGCCUCAGACCAAAAGAUGCCGCGCCCAAGAUCUUUGAGAUAUCUAAGAGGAAGGCGUGUUCAGUCAGCAAAGCGCUUGAUAACAACUUCUGGGUCAGUCAGAUCGACGCUACUCAGGACCUCUCCUUGGCCCAUAUCCAGGAGUUCGCCAACCUUUGGGGAAUGCUUCAGGAUGUUACUCUCAGCCUGGAUAGGGAGGACACCAUACAUUGA
rnacentral:rRNA from 1 species